GUGCUCGCUUCGGCAGCACAUAUACUAAAAUUGGAACAAUACAGAGACGAUUAGCAUGACCCUUGUGCAAAGGUGACAUGCAAAUUUGUGAAGCAAUCCAUUAAAAA
ensembl:snRNA U6 U6 spliceosomal RNA